rnacentral:rRNA from 1 species
CAAAAACAUAGCAUUGAUGAAAUGAUAUUUUGUGAGUUCUGCUCAAUGAGUAUUAAAUAGCCGCAGUACUCUGACUGUGCAAAGGUAGCAUAAUCAGUUGGCUUAUAAUUGAAGUCUGGCAUGAAUGAAUUCAUGGGGAGCAACUAUAUGGGGUGUUUCACGUAAACUUACUGAGUAGGUGAAAAUUCCUACAGAUAAAUAAAAGACGAGAAGACCCUAGAAAUUUAUUGUUGUAUAAUUUUGUUGGGGCAACAAUGUACCAAAUAAAGUACAUACAUAACCAUGGCACUUUUAUGUUGUAUGAUUAAAUUACUCUAGGGAUAACAGCAUAAUUUUUGCAAAGGUUGUGACCUCGAUGUUGGACUAGGGAUUUAUCUCUUAGAUAGAGCCUAAACUUSCUCUGUUCG